UGCUGACUGAGGACUUGCCAGCUUCCCCCGUGGGUCAGGAAACCCAAGGUGGCUGCUUGGUCUGAGCCUUUGUGUCCUCAGGAGUUCAUGGUGGCUUGGUCCUGGUGCAGUUGGGAGGAGUGUGACCUCGGGAGGCGUGGGGCACCAGGGCUCUGCCCUCACAGAUGGCACUGGCACCCUUACACAGGGUUUGUCUCUUCCACCAUGUGACAACACUGCAUCUGCCCUCUGAAGACACAGCAGCAGGUGCCCUCACCAGACACGACCAGCCAGUGCCUUGACUUUGGAGUUCCAGCCUCCAGACUGUGAGAAAUAAGUUUCUGUUGUUUCCAGGUCACCCUGUCUGUGGCGUCCUGUGGUGGCAGCAGGAGUGGACUGCCACCCUGGAGCUGCUUCUGCUGGCGGCUCAUUUCUCUCUCGGGGCAGGUUGGCAGGUGGUCAGCGCCCAUCCGUCUAUCCAGGGCCAGUCCCACCUUCCUGGCUGCUCCUCGGUGUGAGUCUUGCUGUCAGAACUGGCACUGGGCCAUCAGGUCAUAGUCAGGUGGGGACUGGGGAGGUGCAAGGGGCCCGGUGGGGUCUCUCAGGGAGGCUCCCCACAUCUGGGGAGACAAGCCCAGCCACUGCAGUCAGCUCUUAGGCUCCACAUGUCCGGUGCCAGGGCUGCUCUUUGGGUGCUUCUGUGCCCAGGUGGAAUGGAGAAGGGAGCCAUCCUGGCACCAGUGCCAGCUUCUGGAAGGUUUCCGAGGCUUCUUACCAUGUUCUUCCAAAGAAUCACGCUGAUGUGCAUAUGCAGCAGCCAACGUGCUCCACCUCCCUGGCCACACUUGGUGGUCACAGGCUGCAGGCUCCUGCUGCCCGAGGGGUGGAGUCCAGGGACCGGUUAGACUGGCACCUCCCUGCUGUUCGAGGGGUGGAGCAACUUCUCCCGUCUUCCCAGGACAUUCCUUUUCCAAGGUUCUUGGUGCAAACUCGUUCUCUUACUCAGUGCUUUCCCCACAGAUUUGGAGGAAGGCUGUCUGUGGAUUACUGUCCCGUGGCCCCUUUCUAUUCUUUAAAUAGAUCUCAGGUGCACAGAACCAGAGGCAUUGGGACCAUGCAGGGUGGACUGUUUUUCAAUAUUUG
rnacentral:lncRNA from 1 species